GCUUGUCUCAAAGAUUAAGCCAUGCAUGUCUAAGUAUAACUCUUUUACUUUGAAAACUGCGAACGGCUCAUUAUAUCAGUUAUAGUUUCUUUGAUAGUCCCUUACUACUUGGAUACCCGUAGUAAUUCUAGAGCUAAUACAUGCAUCAAUACCCAACUGUUCGCGGAAGGGUAGUAUUUAUUAGGUAUAGACCAACCCUCCUCGGAGGUGCUUUGGUGAUUCAUAAUAACUGAUCGAAUCUCAAAUUUGAGAUAAAUCAUUCAAGUUUCUGCCCUAUCAGCUUUCGAUGGUAGUGUAUUGGACUACCAUGGCAGUAACGGGUAACGAAGAAUUAGGGUUCGAUUUCGGAGAGGGAGCCUGAGAAACGGCUACCACAUCCAAGGAAGGCAGCAGG
rnacentral:rRNA from 1 species